rnacentral:rRNA from 1 species
UGUAAUAUUUAAAGUCUAACCUGCUCAAUGAAAAUUUAAAUGGCCGCAGUAUUUUGACUGUGCAAAGGUAGCAUAAUCAUUAGUUUCUUGAUUAGGAACUUGUAUGAAUGGUUGGAUGAGAAAUGAACUGUCUCUAUAUAAUUUUAUUAGAAUUUUAUUUUUAAGUUAAAAAGCUUAAAUUUUUGUUAAAGACGAGAAGACCCUAUAGAGUUUAAUUAAAUUAAUCUUAUUGUUUAUUAAGAAUUUAAUUUUUGUGAGAUUAAUUUAAUUUUGUUGGGGUGACAGGAAGAAUAAAAUAACUUUUCUUUUUUAUAACAUUGAUUUAUGGUUUGUUGAUCCAAUAUUUUUGAUUAAAAAAUUAAAUUACCUUAGGGAUAACAGCGUAAUUUCUUUUGAGAGUUCUUAUCGAAAAAGUAGAUUGCGACCUCGAUGUUGGAUUAAAAUUAAGGAUUGGCGUAGAAGUUAGUCUUUUAAGUCUGUUCGACUUUUAAAAUUUUACGUGAUCUGA